GGAAGUAAAAGUCGUAACAAGGUUUCCGUAGGUGAACCUGCGGAAGGAUCAUUACCGAGAGGGGAGACCCUUUCCCCCCCGGCUUCGGUCGGGGGUCUCCUGGCUUCGGCUGGGGGUGUUCUACCCUUUGUAUACUUACCAUUGUUGCUUUGGCGGGCCCCAGCGCUUCGGCCCCCAGCGCCCGCCAGUGGCCCAUUAAAUCCUGCUUAUCAGUGUCGUCCGAGUACAAAACAAAUAGUUAAAACUUUCAACAACGGAUCUCUUGGUUCUGGCAUCGAUGAAGAACGCAGCGAAAUGCGAUAAGUAAUGUGAAUUGCAGAAUUCAGUGAAUCAUCGAAUCUUUGAACGCACAUUGCGCCCCUCGGUAUUCCGGGGGGCAUGCCUGUUCGAGCGUCAUUACACCCCUCAAGCACAGCUUGGUAUUGGGUCCUCGCCCCCGCGGCGGGUCCGAAAAACAGUGGCGGCCCGGAGCGGGAUCCCAGCGCAGUAAAAUCAUCCGUUGAGGAGAAGCCCCGCGGCUGGCCAGCAACCGCCUCGUACAAGAAAUUGACCUCGGAUCAGGUAGGGAUACCCGCUGAACUUAAGC
rnacentral:rRNA from 1 species